CCCUCCACGCCUGGCCUCCUGGCGCCCGCGGGGAGGUGGUUCCCAGCCCACCUGCCCUCAGGCCGCCGGCCCCAAGUCUCUCCUCCGGCGUUUCCCGCCCUUCCGAGGGCUCGCUGGGCGCUCCCGGGCCUGAGGGACCCGCGCCGAACUCGAGGCGCCGCACACGGACCCCGACGGGGCCUUCGGCUCGGGGCUCCUCCGCCUGGGCAACCCUUACGUCGAGGACAGCCUGCUGCCGGCCUUCCUGAGGAGACACCUGCCCGCCGAGGUGUUUACUAAAGUGAGCAAGGAUCUUCUGCAGCUGUUUGGAGCCUGAGUGGCAGAUGACGCCAACUAACUGGGGACAAGUAUGAGUUACACCCCAAAGGCUGCUGCAGCAGGAUGCCCAGACAGCACGUAGACCACCUCCACACCUGCAGAGCUGAGAGGAUCUCAGCUGAGCAGGUACAGGUACAGGUGAGAAGAGAAGUUCUGUUGCCUUGGAGCAGUACGGCUGCCUAGGAAACAAGAAGGGCUCCUGCCGCUUCCAACUCUGGACGACGUGUGAAAGCAGAAAGGAAACCCACUGCUGGAUUAAGGACCACUUAAGCACAGAAGAGAGAAUACUGAAUACCCUUUGGCAACAAAACACCACCGGCAAAAGGAAAAGGCUAGACAAGGAGCAAUGGAAAGACAGAAUUAAAACAAACACAAGACUUCAUCUUCUAGAAUGCAGGGAUCCUGAUAGACCCUAAGUGGAGUCUUCCCUUAAGUCUUCAAUGCUAACAGUUCUCUGGAAAGACCACCUCUGUUCAGUCCUGGGCUCUUUUUCUUUUUUUUUUUUAAAAAAAAAAAAAAAAGCAGUCAUGCUGUUUGACUUGAAAGUCACAAGCAUCAUUCUGGCAUCUAAGUGAAUGACUGACCCAAACAAAAUAGCUCUAAAACCCCUCAACUGGCUAUUCCACAAGACCAGCCCCUGCUGAA